UUCCUAAUAUAAAAUGAAUUCAUGAAGAAUUGAAUGGUGCUUGCUAUGUGCCUGACUGAUGAAAAUAAAUCAGCUUGCUUCAAGUAUGCCUAUUCUUCAAGUAUGCCUAUUCUCCCCUCUUUAGAGAACAGAUCAUUUUGAUCUUUCUCUAAACCUUGUUUAAUCCAAAAGACAGAUUCUGGGUAUUUAAAAAAAAAAAAAAAAAAAUCUCAUAACCACUGAAGCGCUGGGCUGUCAUGUGUUGUGUGGUGAGAUUUGUCAUCAGCUGAGUGACCUGGUGACUGGCAUGAAGUAUUGUAGGAUGCCCUAGUGUGAUAGUAGUAGCAGUUUCAACAGCCAUUGCACAUGCUAUCAAUGCUCUGAGACACGCCGGCAUACCCUGUACCGGAGCUUGAACUACUUUGGAAAAGAAUGCUAUGGGACGCAUACCGCCUCCUUGCUCUUGUGCACAGACCACGGCCAUGGUUUUACAAUUGUCCCAAGCAUACAAAUGAAAUGGUUUACAAUACACAGGUAGUCCUAAAGCCUGGGCUUGCACAAUAACAACUGUAAGGGCAAUAUAUGCAGAUAGCAUGUCUGGUGACCAGCAGACAUUUUCAGGGCUGUCAGAACGUACAGCCUCCCUUAGGAUUGAGUCAUAAUGGGAGCAUUCAGGGAUCCAUUGGCGGCAGUAAUUAAUCAUGCCGAGGAAGGUGAGCAACUCCUUCCGAGUAGUGGGUGUUGGAAUCCUCUGAAUGACCUCAAUACAUUUUGGACUCAAUUGUCUGGUGCCUAAAGCCAGAACAAAACCUAAGUAUUCAACCUUUGAUUUACACAAUUGCAUUUUGUGUUUAACAACCUUGUGACCUAUAGUUGCUGACAGUAUCCACAGUGCUUGCCUCAGACCUAGGGCUACAUAACAACAAAUCAUCAACAUUUUGCAAAAAGGACGGAACCAUGACCGGUGGUCCAUGUUUUUUUAGAGUAUGUUGGAGUACCAACGAAUAAACAGCUGGGGAAUCCACAUAGCCUUGGGUAAGCGUGUCCAGGUAAACUGACAGCCUUCAAAAAGUAAAAAACCAUAAGUAGCUGUGUCUCUUGAUCAAUAGGUAUAGAAAAAAAUGCAUUACUUAAAUCAAUGACAGUGAAGCAAGUGGCAUCAUGUGGAAUGGCUAUAAUGAGGGAUGUCACAUCAGGGACAAUGGGUGAAAUGGGCACAAUUAAACUAUUCAGGGCUCUAAAGUCCUGAACUAAGCGAUAUGCUGGCCAGUGGUGUUGGGAGUGGGUCUGGUGUUGUUCUUGCCUACAGGGCAUAUUUUGAGAAAGGUGGGGUUGUUGGGGUGUGUGGGGUUUCCUG